UUUGGUAAACUUUUAUGUAAAACAGCUGUAACUGUAUGAAAUGACCAAAAAUGGCAUAAUACUAUAUUAUUAUUAUAAUAUUUUAUUUAAUAUUAUUAUUUUUAUGUGAGGAUUUUGUGUGGCCGUGGGGCCCACACCCUAUUUUCCUUAUCCAUGCAUCUUCUUUUCCCUUUACACUCUCGAACUUUCUUGAAAACCCUCAGCUCUCUCUCUGUGCACUCUCUCCUCCACCGAGACAACCCCACACACAAACCUUCGAUCUCAGACCAUCUCACCUCAGCUCUCUCUCUUUCUCUCUGCACUCUCUCUUCUUCUUGCUCCGAAUCCUCGGAAUCAACCUCCUGAGCUUAAGCUGAGUGAAUGUACUGGUGAAAUGGAGAAAUGGGUUUUGGGAAAUUAGGGUUCUUGAUGGGUUUGGAGCCGCCAUAGCUCAGUGGACGAAACGACGUCAGAGGUUGGGUCUGUUUUCCUCCGAUUUCCGUUCAGCACAUUCUCCGCCAGCUCUCACUCAAUUCGGUCCUAGUAAACGACAUCGUCAAGAACUUGGUCGGCGAGCUUCGCCCAAUGCUCGAAGUUGCGAGCCCAGAGAUUUUUGGAGACCCACUUGAGGUAGGUUGAAGGGAGGGUGCCCAGCAUCUUGCCCUUGUAUUUUCCGAAAUCGAUGACUCUGUCUCUGGCAGGCUGCGGUGUUGAGGCGAAUAGAGAAGGUGGUUUGGGGGGUUUUGUGGGUUUGAAGGGGCAGGAGAAGCGGAGGGGGUGCGGAGAGGUGUGGGAGAAUGGUGGGUUUGACGGAGGAGUGUGGAGGCAGAAGAGAGAGCUCAGGGUAGGAUUGCCAGAAACUUUCAUUAAAGGGUCACUGUUCACCUGUAUUUUAGAGGUUUGCGCAGAAGCUGAAAAGCGAGCUUUUCAAAGCUGCAUUUUGCUGCUUCUGUUUUUUGGCUUUUUUUCACUCAAAAUUAUGAAAAAAAGUUGAAGCUGGAAGUUUACCAAACACAAAAAUGACCCCCAGCUUUUUUUGAUAACAAUUUUUUUUUACAAUCACCUCAACCCCAAACCAUAUCUCAGAAUGAGAAAUGAGGAAGAAGGAGAUGUUGUAUGUGACACCUAUACAUGGAAAAUUCCCAACUUGUCCAAGCUCAAAAGCGACAAGCAUUCCUCUGAAGUUUUCAUAGCCAGUGAUAUCAAAUGGUACCUAUUUCUUCUAACCAUCUCCCAUAAAUUAACCCUAUAUAUAUAUAUAUAUAUAUAUAUAUAUAUAAAAGUCAAGAUCGAACGGUUAAAACACACGAAGUGCACACUUCUUAGCCUCCUAUGAUUAUUGAAUAAAUAAUUGAGGUUUUAGUUGUCUGCACCCUGAAGACUUUGUACUUCCCCAACUGAUUGGUAGUACUCCCCUCCCUCUUUUAAUCACUCACUCUGUCUCUGUCUCUCUUCUCUCUCUCCUGAUCAGAGCCGAGAAGGUAAGGGAACCGUGGAUGGGAAGAAUGAGAAAUGAGGAAGGAGAUGUUGUAUGUGAUACCUAUACAUGAAAAAUUCCCAAUUUGUCCAAGCUCAAAAGCGACGAGCAUUCCUCUGACGUUUUCAUCGCCGGUGAUAUAAAAUGGAGGAUCCUUAUACGUCCAACGUGGAUAUGCGAUGCAAAUCCUGAACUCGACGACCAGUUAUCUAUGUAUUUGAGUGUUGAAGAUACUUCAACAUUGCCACCCGGAUGGACUAGAUGUGCAAAUUUUUGCUUGACUCUGGUUAAUCAACAUGACAGCACCAUGUCAAUAACCAAGUCUACAAACGGCAAUCUAAAAGAGUUCAAAGAAAACAAGAGUAAGUUUGGCUUCAAAUCAUUCAUGCCUCUUCGGAAGCUCUAUAACUCCGGUGCAGGUUUUCUAGUAAAUGAUAUUUGCAUUGUUCAAGCCAAGAUCAAUGUCCCAGUUAAAAUUGGCGGCCAAGAAACUAAUAUUUCUGCAACUAUGGAGUCAUCAAAGAAAGAACUUAAGGGGCAGGAAUCACAGGGGAAUUCUGAACUCCAAAACGCACCAGGUUUUCAACAAGAUUGCACUGAGGCUACUGAUGACAGCCCUUCUAACCCUUCCUUAGGGAAGUCCCCACCACCCCAAUGGGCGACCUUAUGGAUUUUAGGGGUUUACGACGAAUAGAGAGAGCUUUUGUUCCAUGGCUAGAAGAAGUCUGCUCAUUGAAUCCUUCCUUGAUUGACUGUAUGCUCAAAAGAACUCCGAUCUUUGGGACUUGUGCUGCAUUUUUAAGACGACAAAGGUUAAAGAUAUGAUUAGGGAUGCUUCUGACCACCUUCAACUAUUCUGGGAAGAGGUCGAGGCCCUUAGAUUUGACUUAGCAUGGCUUGAGCUGCAUGUUCGUACCGCAUUUGGUAUGAACAAGUUUCUACAAAGAGCGGGGAGACUGAAAAGGCUGAGAGAAGACGUAGACGUUUUGGAGGAUGAACUUAAAAGGCGGAGGGCAGCAGUAGUUGUUACAAAGGUUGAUCUUGCGGUACCAAAAAAAAACUUGGGUAAGGCGGAACAAGAAUUCAAUGGGAUAGACAUGGAUGGUGAGCUAGGUUAUGCGACUGGUUAGCCUUGUUGUAUGAUAUCUUUAACUGUGGGUUUAGAUCUUACCUUACUUGCUCGACUCGGAAUCUUGAAAUUUAAAUAAAAUUUUGCUUUAGCUUUAUUUUUAAGUUGUGGGCAUU